rnacentral:rRNA from 1 species
UACGUAGGUGGCAAGCGUUGUCCGGAUUUAUUGGGUUUAACGGGUGCGUAGGCGGCUUUGUAAGUCAGUGGUGAAAUAUGGCAGCUCAACUGUCAAGGUGCCAUUGAUACUGCGGAGCUUGAGUACAGAUGAGGUAGGCGGAAUUGACGGUGUAGCGGUGAAAUGCUUAGAUAUCGUCAAGAACACCUAUAGCGAAGGCAGCUUACUAGGCUGUAACUGACGCUGAGGCACGAAAGUGUGGGGAUCAAACAGG